AGCAGCCGCGGUAAUUCCAGCUCCAAUAGCGUAUAUUAAAGUUGUUGCAGUUAAAAAGACUCGUAGUUGAAUUUCGGGAUCAAUAUGUUGGUCGUACCAUUGGUACGUACUGGCAUUAUUGAUUCCUACCUUUCUGAAGAAUCUUGAUGUCAUUAAUUUGGUGUCUUGGGAAAUCAGGACUGUUACUUUGAAAAAAUUAGAGUGUUUAAAGUAGGCUCGCGCUUGAAUACAUUAGCAUGGAAUAAUGAAUAGGACGUUUGAUUCUAUUUUGUUGGUUUCUAGGAUCGAUGUAAUGAUUAAUAGGGAUAGUUGGGGGCAUUAGUAUUCAAUUGUCAGAGGCGAAAUUCUUGGAUUUAUUGAAGACUAACUACUGCGAA
rnacentral:rRNA from 1 species